AAUAUAAAUACAUCUAUAAGUGCUCGAAAUCAAUCGAGAUAAUAGGGAAAUCGGUGAGAAUCCGGUACAGCCCCCGCUACUGUAAUAGCUGAUGAAAUCGCAAAUGCCACUGGUGUAAACUUGGGAAGGCGCGAAAGUAAAUGGAAGCUUAAGUCAGGAAACCUGCUUAGUUGAUGGCAUGCAA
rnacentral:ncRNA from 1 species